GACGAACGCUGGCGGCGUGCUUAACACAUGCAAGUCGAACGGAGAGGCCCUGAUCUUGCGGGGUGCUCGAGUGGCGAACGCGUGUGUAAAACGCGAGUAUACUGCCCCUGACUUUGGGAUAACUUCUGGAAACUGGGGCUCAUACAGGAUAGGAGAUCCUGCUGCAUGGUGGGCGAUGGAAAGUUUCGGUGGUGGGGGAUGGAAUGGAGGCAUAUCAGCUGGAUGGGGGGGUAGUGGAUUUCCAAGGUUUUGACGUGUAGCCGGCCUGAGAGGGUGACCGGCCACAUUGGGACUGAGGUACGGCCCAGACUGCUACGGUAGGCAGCAGUGGGAAAUAUUGCACAAUGGGCGGAAGCCUGAUGCAGCAACGCCGCGUGCUGGAUAACGGCCUUCGUGUUGUAAACCGCUUUCGCCUGUAACGAAGCGUGAGUGACGGUAAUGUGUAAAGAAGCACCGGCUAACUACGUG
rnacentral:rRNA from 1 species